CAUCUGACAAAAAUAUCUAAACACACUUGUCGAAUAACGAAGUGUCUCCAGUGCGCUAUUCUAACCCGGUGCGCUCUAUUCCAGCUCAUCGCAUUGGUCGGGCUAGAAUGGGCAUCCAGCCAGGAAGGAAGGUCCUGGUCUCCAGUAUAUCUCCUUGGACCAGGAUAUCCUGCGCCGGCUCUGCUCACUGUGUCUCUGGUGAGUCUGCACAGCCCAGUGCGUCCUGUGCCAGCGCCCUGCAUUUGCAGGGCGAAAAUAAACAUCCAGCCAGGACGGGUUGUGUCAUCUCUACACUCCAGACCUCCAGUGUGCCUCCACAGUCCAGUACGUCCUGUGCCUCCUCCCCGCACUCGCCCUGAGGUGCGUGUCACCAGCCCGGUACCACCAGUGCCGGCACCACGCACCAGGCCUCCAGUGCGCCUCCAGGGUCCAGUACGCCCUGUUCCUGCUCCUCACACUUGCCCUGAGGUGUGUGUCCCCAGCCCGGUACCACCAGUGCCGGCACCACUCACCAGGCCUACAGUGCACCUCGGCAGUCCAGUACGCCCUGUUCCUGCUCCUCGCACUCGCCCUGAAGUGCGUGUCCCAGGCCCGCUACCACCAGUGCCGGCACCACGCACCAGGCCUACAGUGCGCCUCGGCAGUCCAGAGCGUCCGGCGAUAGUACCCAGUCCAGAGCGUCCGGCGACAGGCCACAGUCCGGAUCCUCCAACGACGGGCCACAGUCCGGAACCUCCAACGACGGGCCACAGUCUGGAGCCUCCAACGACGGGCCACAGUCCGGAGCCUCCAGCGACGGGCCACAGUCCGGGGCCUCCAGUGACGGACCCCAGUCCGGGGCCUCCAGCGAUGAUCCCCAGCCCGGGGCCUCCGGCGAUGAUCCACGCAGCAACGGUCCCCAGCCCGGGGCCUCCAGCGACAGUCCCCAGCCCGGGAUCUCCGGCGAUGAUCCGCAGUCCAGAGCCUCAGCCGAUGAUCCACGGGUCAGUGCUACAAAGGCGGAGGGAUCAGAAGGGGGGCGGCGACCAGAACCAGAGCCGCCACCGACAUUAG
rnacentral:lncRNA from 13 species